UUGAAUUCUAAGAGUUCUAACAGGGAUUUUAUUCAUCUUAACUAUUUUGACAGAUUUUAAAAUUAUGUAGUAAGACUUUAUUUCAAUGUUGACAGGACGGGUUCCCAUGUGUGUUUUUGCAGAGGGUUUUUCCAGAAACUGACUUGUUACUAGGACCACAUAGUUUGGUACACAGUAGAAAAAAGGCAGUUAGUUAUUGCUGUAGAGUGAACUGAGUGACAGUUCUUGCUUGCUUGAGAAAAAUAUACUGAGCAUCUAGAUUGGGCCAGGUAGUGUUGCUAGGUGCUCCGGAUAUAUAGUAGAAAAACAAGCCUGUCUUUUUUAAUGUAUGCAGGAAAUCUCUGGAGAAGUAAGAGAGGUUAAGGAAAGCUGAGUAUGUGCCUGCUUUACAUGAAGUAGUAGUGAUUAAGUUGGCCAGUGCCCAGAAGUGCUUACUGGGUGCCAGGAUUGUUGCUAUGGAAUAUCGAGUACCACUAACUUUUAAAUUCUUCAAAGAGGGCUGUGCUGAAGUUUGCUGCUGCCACUGGAGCCACUCCAAUUGCUGGCCGCUUCACUCCUGGAACCUUCACUAACCAGAUCCAGGCAGCCUUCCGGGAGCCACGGCUUCUUGUGGUUACCGACCCCAGGGCUGACCACCAGCCUCUCACGGAGGCAUCUUAUGUUAACCUACCUACCAUUGCGCUGUGUAACACAGAUUCUCCUCUGCGCUAUGUGGACAUUGCCAUCCCAUGCAACAACAAGGUAAUGAUUUUAGGAUCUAGAGUUUGUGAAUGCGUGCUCUAGAAAAAACAUUCCUGUGCACAUUGUUAGAGCUUGGAGUUGAGGCUACUGACUGGCCGAUGAACUCGCAAGUGUAGGUAGUGUGCUACAUGAGGGGCAAGUUUUUCGCUAACACCACAAGGGUCUCUGGCCCAAUGAGUGGAGUUUGAUAGUAAUACUUGCUACAAGUAUAACAUUACUGUAUGACAGCUUUGUGGAGAACUGAAAACAUUUGGAAAAUAGUGUGUUUUCUUCUGCCUUUGUCCAUGUUUCUUGCUCAGGCCUCAGGCACUUGGCCUUUGUUUUCACACCAACUUGAUGGGUUCUACUAUAAGAUGCUAAAAAGGUGGGUUGUGUGUGGUUCAGAUUGGUUGAUUUGUAACCCUAGUUGUGCAUAAGAAUUGCCCAGAUAUUUUUUUUAAAUGCUAGUGUCCGGGCAUUUUUUUUUCAAUCCCUAUCAUUCCAAUGUGCAGACAAGGUUGAAAAUCCCUAUUUAUAAUGCUCCCUGUUACAAUUGCUUUUCAACUAAGAGAUGUCUGUACUUUUGGUACCUAGAUGAUGUAAGAGCCAGGAAGGUGCUUGCUGUUUGGGUUUGACCAAGUGUCACUUUUUAAUAAUCUGCCACUCUUGGCAGGGAGCUCACUCAGUGGGUUUGAUGUGGUGGAUGCUGGCUCGGGAAGUUCUGCGCAUGCGUGGCACCAUUUCCCGUGAACACCCAUGGGAGGUCAUGCCUGAUCUGUACUUCUACAGAGAUCCUGAAGAGAUUGAGAAAGAAGAGCAGGCUGCUGCUGAGAAGGCAGUGACCAAGGAGGAAUUUCAGGGUGAAUGGACUGCUCCAGCUCCUGAGUUCACUGCUACUCAGCCUGAGGUUGCAGACUGGUCUGAAGGUGUACAGGUGCCCUCUGUGCCUAUUCAGCAAUUCCCUACUGGUAUGUAUCAGGAUAGAGGUGCAUCAAGCUGAUAUUUUGCAACUUCUCAGUUUUAUUCUAACUUUAAUGAUCUCUGUGACUUUUAUACUAGCUUUAAGAGGUUUUCAUCCCAGUGUGCUACAGCAUCUGAUAGACUGCUGUUGGGAGUAGGGUAAGGAAAAAUACUACAUUGAGGACAGAGCUGAUGGCUCUUUUUGGUAUUCUCUUAACAGAAGACUGGAGCGCUCAGCCUGCCACGGAAGACUGGUCUGCAGCUCCCACUGCUCAGGCCACUGAAUGGGUAGGAGCAACCACUGACUGGUCUUAAGCUGUUCUUGCAUAGGCUCUUAAGCAGCAUGGAAAAAUGGUUGAUGGAAAAUAAACAUCAGUUUCU
rnacentral:sRNA from 1 species